UGGGGUGUAGCUCAGUGGCAGAGCACUUGUCUGGCACCUGCAAGGCCCUGGGUUCCAUACCCAGCACCACAA
rnacentral:tRNA from 1 species